AGCGAACGCUGGCGGCAGGCCUAACACAUGCAAGUCGAACGGAUCCUUCGGGAUUAGUGGCGGACGGGUGAGUAACACGUGGGAACGUGCCCUUUGGUUCGGAACAACUCAGGGAAACUUGAGCUAAUACCGGAUGCGCCCUUCGGGGGAAAGAUUUAUCGCCAUUGGAGCGGCCCGCGUCUGAUUAGCUAGUUGGUGAGGUAAAGGCUCACCAAGGCGACGAUCAGUAGCUGGUCUGAGAGGAUGAUCAGCCACACUGGGACUGAGACACGGCCCAGACUCCUACGGGAGGCAGCAGUGGGGAAUCUUGCGCAAUGGGCGAAAGCCUGACGCAGCCAUGCCGCGUGAAUGAUGAAGGUCUUAGGAUUGUAAAAUUCUUUCACCGGGGACGAUAAUGACGGUACCCGGAGAAGAAGCUCCGGCUAACUUCGUGCCAGCAGCCGCAGUAACAC
rnacentral:rRNA from 1 species